rnacentral:lncRNA from 1 species
GUAUGUUGUUUUCAAUAUUCUACUGUUUUUUUGUGUGUGGCAUGCAAUUACUCAGGCACUGGGCAAAAUUCAGCCUUUGGAUUUUGUGGUCACACAUACCCCAACUCCGCAACAGCUAUUAAUUUGCAGGGCGAUGGGGUGCGGAUAGUGGAUGAGAUACAAGAAAGCAUUCCAAUUAAAAUGCCCCCCCCCACCCCGCCUUUUAAUUUUCCAGACACUUGCUUUUAUUUUUCUUUUUUUAAACAUCAUCAAAACAAGAAUAUUAAACUUGAAGCAGAAUUUGUUACAGCGUAUCUGACUCAGGACCUGAUUUAAGGUUUGGGGUUUUUUGGCCCUUUGUUUCUUCCUCUUGUUUUUUGACCUUUAGUUACUCCACACCUCAUUAGUUCCUUGACCUGCAGGUGGACUGAGAAGAGAGCCAUGCAGGUAGCAGGCAAGAGUGUGGUUAUCGUUGGACCAGGAUUCAGGAUCUGACUGAGUAGCUGACUCUUAAUCCAGUUUGUGUUGAUCACCAGGAGGAUCUGGACCUCAGUAUUACCACAUCUAGAGCUAUAAUCACAUCCCUGUUAAGCCUUCCUGAGAUCACACCAAAUGUCCUUGAUGGGAAUUGUAAACAACCCUUACUUCUGGUUUCUAAUGAUAUUCCAGGAAAGGAGCCUAACUAGAGUCAGUGAUAUGCCAACUCCACCUUUGCCUUCCACCAUGUUUGGAAGCUCCCUGAGGCCUCACCAGGAGCAGAUGCUCGUCCCAUGCUUCCUAUAAGCCUGCAGAACUGUGAGCCAUAAUAAACUGUGAAUUAUAAAUUGCCUUUAUAGCAAUGCAAAUGGACCAGUACAGAUGGGAUGCUGGGAAGACAGUUGUUUCCACCUUCAGUAAAGUCCGUGGAACACAGUUGUGACUAUAUUCUAGGCCAGCCAAGAUGCUUGUACUCAGAAAGGAGUGGUCUCAGGACCAUAAGAAAGUGAAAAAAUAAAAAUAAGAAAAUAAAGAAGGGAUUGUCAAUGAAUCAGAAUUCAUCAAGGUCAAAGUCUUAGGAAAUUCCUUCAUGAGGAAGUCUAGGGGGGCUAUGGAAAUGAAAUUUUUAAACAAAUAGGUAUGUGGUGCUGGCAGGAAUAAAUUAUGGACUUAUGAAUAUAACAUAAGAUUCUUUAUUACCUGGUCUCACCCGUCUUUCCACCUCUGCCCCCCUUCUUGCCCGACUCUGUGUAUCACCCAUAAUAAACUACUUACAGCUUCCUAGUGUUAAAUUUACCCUAAAGCUGCCUCCUUCAAUAUUUUAAGUUUAACCUAAAGGUUCUUCAUACAUAGUGAACUAUAACCCAAUGAUUAAACAGAUUGUAACCUACUCUUGUACCAGUCACCAAGUUUCAGCCAAUCAGAGGUGGCCAACUGUUCAAACCAUGCUCAAAUAAGGGAAAUGUCAUGGUGUAACUAAUCCAGCUGUUUCUAUACCUUACUUCUGUUUUCUUAGGUCACUUUCCUUUUUGGAAAAGAAAGCUGGAUAAAGUAUUUAUAGAAGAUAGAGGACCUGUGGUGGCUCAUGCCUGUAAUCCAAGGUGGAAGGAUUGCUUGAGGCCAGAAGUUCAAGACCAGUCCAAGCAACAUAGCAAGGCCCCAUCUCUACAAAAAAUGAAAAUAAAAUUAGCCGAGCGUGAUGGCUCAUGCCUGUAGUUCUAGCUUCUAGAGAGGCUGAGGCAGGAGGAUUGCUUGAGUCCAGGAGUUCAAGAUUACAGUGAGCUAUGGUCACACCACUGCACUCCAGCCUGGGUGAUGGAGUGAGACUGUCUCAAUAAAAAGACAAAAAGGCUGGCCAGGGGCAGUGGUUCAUGCCUGUAAACCCAGCACUUUGGGAGGCAAAGGCAGGAGGAUUGCUUAAGCCCAGGAAUUUGAGAUCAGCCUGGACAACAUGGUCAAGGAAGCUUUUCCUGAUCCACUAACUAAGGACAAUCAAACCCUUCAUGAUCUAGAAUCUGGAGACUGUGUCUUCUGGGAAUAGUAUCAGAGAAAGACUGCCCUUACUGCCCACAUGUAGCAAAACUUUGAGACGUUGAAUUAUGGGUCCAUAAUCUCACAACUCAGAGGGGCACCUCUAGACUCUUGGAACUGUAUAUCUAUUGGAGACUUUAAGGUAAAGCUGAACAGAGAGACGUUUUUCUCCAGAAGCAGACAGCACCAUAGUCAUGGACAGCUUUCCCAAGAUCACAGAUCAAGACUUCUCUGCCGUCAUGAGACUCAUAACCUCUUAAUUUUUUCUUGCUUAUGCUUCUGUGAACAAUAGAAUUGGAAAAGGGGUGGUCCCGCGUGCACCCAUAGGGUAUACUUUUAUUUGUGGAGGAUUUUGCUGCCAACCUUAUACAUGGGCAAACUUAUGCCUUCAUGGAUGGAAGAUAAAGGGCUAAUAUGGGUUAGAAAUUUUAAUGGUACCUUUGUUUCUCCAUAAUCAUUCAGAAACAGAACACUGGUCCACUCUUGUUAACCUACAUCAUAGGUUGAAGAGAACAUUGCCAGGAGGCCUUCAUCCUUCCAGAUGGGCACCAUUUGUUGGGUCUUUUUCCGUGGUAUGAAGAAAAUGAAGCAAUGAUUAGAAAUUGGUCCCUCGGCCGGGCACAAUGGCUCAUGCCUGUAAUCCCAUCACUUUGGCAGGCCGAGGCGGGUGGAUCACCUGAGGUCAGGAGUUUGAGACCAGCCUGACCAAUGUGGUGAAACGCCAUCUCUACUAAAAAUACAAAAAUUAGCUGGGUGUGAUGGUGCACACCUGUAAUCCAGCUACUCGGGAGGCUGAGACAGGAGAAUUGCUUGAACCUGGGAGGCAGAGGUUGCAGUGAGCCAAGAUCACCCCACUGCAUUCCAGGUUGGGCAACAGAGCAAGACUCUGUCUCAAAAAAAAAAGAAGAAAGAAAGAAAUUGAUCCCUCAUAAUAGGCUGUAUAGCAGAUUCUACUGCAAAGGCUAUGGUUGCACAACAGACUUCUUUGAAUUUGCUUGCUAAACUUUUACUGGAUAAUACUGGGAUUACAGGUGUGAGCCACUGUGCCCAGCCUCUCCUGUUUAACUGUAUUCAUUCUAAUGUUUACUUACUUCUUUAAUUUGUAAAAUUGGGUCACUUAGAGUUUUUUUAGCCUAUCUUGCCAUUUAGCCACUGUUACUGAUAAUUUGGAUGGAAAAGAAAAAUAAAUUAUAUCACCUCUCAUCUUCAGUGUAUAUAUGUGUUAACUUAGUAAAUAUAGUAUUCUUUCUCGUUCCUAAUGAAAAUUUAGUUUACGUACUGAAACACUGCAAACUUUUAUAAAUAUUGUGAUGUAUUUGACCAAUACAAAGGAUCUUUUUAGAAACAGCAAACAGUUCUCAGAUUAUAGGAAUUACUCAUUUAAUGAUAGUUUCUUCUU